GACGAACCGUGCGAACGUUAUUCGGAGUCACUGGGCUUAAAGGGCGCGUAGGCGGGCGGCCAAGUCAGGGGUGAAAUCGUUCGGCCCAACCGGACAAGGGCCCCUGAUACUGGCUGUCUCGAGGGAGGUAGGGGUCGAUGGAACUUCCGGUGGAGCGGUGAAAUGCGUAGAUAUCGGGAGGAACACCGGUGGCGAAGGCGGUUCUCUGGGCCUUACCUGACGCUGAGGAGCGAAAGCGUGGGGAGCGAACAGG
rnacentral:rRNA from 1 species